rfam:Oryza nivara chromosome 6, whole genome shotgun sequence.
CUUCCGUCCUAUUUUAAGUGUAGCGACAUUUAAGCAUCUGUCUUAUUUGAAAAUUUUAUGAAAAAAAUAAUAAAAAGUCAUACAUAAAAUAUUAUUCAUGUUCUAUUAUCUAAUAGUAAUAAAAAAUACUAAUUAUAAAAAUAUUUUAAAUAAAACGGACGGUUAAAUGUUGGACAGAGAAACUCACAAUUGCAUUUAAA